UACGUAGGGUGCGAGCGUUGUCCGGAAUUACUGGGCGUAAAGAGCUCGUAGGCGGUUUGUCGCGUUGUUCGUGAAAUCUCACGGCUUAACUGUGAGCGUGCGGGCGAUACGGGCAGACUAGAGUACUGCAGGGGAGACUGGAAUUCCUGGUGUAGCGGUGGAAUGCGCAGAUAUCAGGAGGAACACCGGUGGCGAAGGCGGGUCUCUGGGCAGUAACUGACACUGAGGAGCGAAAGCGUGGGGAGCGAACAGG
rnacentral:rRNA from 1 species